UUGAACGCUAGCGGGAUGCUUUACACAUGCAAGUCGAACGGCAGCGCGGACUUCGGUCUGGCGGCGAGUGGCGAACGGGUGAGUAAUGUAUCGGAACGUGCCCAGUAGCGGGGGAUAACUACGCGAAAGCGUAGCUAAUACCGCAUACGCCCUACGGGGGAAAGCAGGGGAUCGUAAGACCUUGCACUAUUGGAGCGGCCGAUAUCGGAUUAGCUAGUUGGUGAGGUAACGGCUCACCAAGGCGACGAUCCGUAGCUGGUUUGAGAGGACGACCAGCCACACUGGGACUGAGACACGGCCCAGACUCCUACGGGAGGCAGCAGUGGGGAAUUUUGGACAAUGGGGGCAACCCUGAUCCAGCCAUCCCGCGUGUGCGAUGAAGGCCUUCGGGUUGUAAAGCACUUUUGGCAGGAAAGAAACGUCGCGGGCUAAUACCCCGUGGAACUGACGGUACCUGCAGAAUAAGCACCGGCUAACUACGUG
rnacentral:rRNA from 1 species